rnacentral:rRNA from 1 species
GCAAGUCGAGCGCUCACCUUCGGGUGGGAGCGGCGGACGGGUUAGUAACGCGUGGGAACAUACCCUUUUCUACGGAAUAGCCAUUGGAAACGAUGAGUAAUACCGUAUACGCCCUUCGGGGGAAAGAUUUAUCGGAUUUGGAUCGGCCCGCGUUAGAUUAGAUAGUUGGUGGGGUAAUGGCCUACCAAGUCUACGAUCUAUAGCUGGUUUUAGAGGAUGAUC